rnacentral:tRNA from 1 species
GAUACGGUGGUCUAGCGGUUAGAACGCUGGCCUUGUAAUCCUGGGGUCUCGGGUUCGAUUCCCGGUGGUGCCC